CAAGGGUUCCUGUCCAACGUUAAUCGGGGCAGGGUGAGUCGACCCCUAAGGCGAGGCCGAAAGGCGUAGUCGAUGGGAAACAGGUUAAUAUUCCUGUACUUGGUGUUACUGCGAAGGGGGGACGGAGAAGGCUAUGUUGGCCGGGCGACGGUUGUCCCGGUUUAAGCGUGUAGGCUGGUUUUCCAGGCAAAUCCGGAAAAUCAAGGCUGAGGCGUGAUGACGAGGCACUACGGUGCUGAAGCAACAAAUGCCCUGCUUCCAGGAAAAGCCUCUAAGCAUCAGGUAACAUCAAAUCGUACCCCAAACCGACACAGGUGGUCAGGUAGAGAAUACCAAGGCGCUUGAGAGAACUCGGGUGAAGGAACUAG
rnacentral:rRNA from 1 species